rnacentral:rRNA from 1 species
GAUCCAUGGCUCAGAUUGAACGCUGGCGGCAUGCCUUACACAUGCAAGUCGAACGGUAACAGGUCUUCGGAUGCUGACGAGUGGCGAACGGGUGAGUAAUACAUCGGAACGUGCCCGAUCGUGGGGGAUAACGGAGCGAAAGCUUUGCUAAUACCGCAUACGAUCUACGGAUGAAAGCAGGGGACCGCAAGGCCUUGCGCGGACGGAGCGGCCGAUGGCAGAUUAGGUAGUUGGUGGGAUAAAAGCUUACCAAGCCGACGAUCUGUAGCUGGUCUGAGAGGACGACCAGCCACACUGGGACUGAGACACGGCCCAGACUCCUACGGGAGGCAGCAGUGGGGAAUUUUGGACAAUGGGCGAAAGCCUGAUCCAGCCAUGCCGCGUGCAGGAUGAAGGCCUUCGGGUUGUAAACUGCUUUUGUACGGAACGAAAAGACUCCUUCUAAUAAA